rnacentral:rRNA from 1 species
CCUAACACAUGCAAGUCGAGCGGGCCCUUCGGGGUUAGCGGCGGACGGGUUAAUAACUCGUGGGAACGUACCCUUCUCUACGGAAUAGCCUCGGGAAACUGAGAGUAAUACCGUAUACGCCCUUUGGGGGAAAGAUUUAUCGGAGAAGGAUCGGCCCGCGUUGGAUUAGGUAGUUGGUGGGGUAAUGGCCUACCAAGCCGACGAUCCAUAGCUGGUUUGAGAGGAUGAUCAGCAACACUGGGACUGAGACACGGCCCAGACUCCUACGGGAGGCAGCAGUGGGGAAUCUUAGACAAUGGGGGAAAMMCUGAUCUAGCCAUGCCGCGUGACGAUGAAGGCCUUAGGGUUGUAAAGUCCUUUCGCUGAGGAAGAUAAUGACGGUACUCAGUAAAGAAGCC